rnacentral:rRNA from 1 species
UACGGAGGGGGCUAGCGUUGUUCGGAAUUACUGGGCGUAAAGCGCACGUAGGCGGCGCGUCAAGUCGGGGGUGAAAGGCCUGGGCUCAACCUGGGAACGGCCUUUGAUACUGACGUGCUGGAGUACGGGAGAGGGUGACGGAAUUCCCAGUGUAGAGGUGAAAUUCGUAGAUAUUGGGAAGAACACCGGUGGCGAAGGCGGUCACCUGGCCCGGAACUGACGCUGAGGUGCGAAAGCGUGGGGAGCAAACAGG